rnacentral:lncRNA from 1 species
UUAUAAGCAACCUUUUGAAUAAAAUAAGAUCGACAUAAUUAUUUUUUUUAUUUUUUAAAUCUAAGUAAAUAAAUUGUAGAUUUUAAUUUAUUUAUAUUUUUUUUAGAAUUAUCUAUAAAAAAAAUCCUAAAAGUAUCCAACUAAUAUUUUAGUUGUAGUUUAAGAGUUAAAUUAAUCAUAACACUUGAAUUAAUAUCAUAAUAUUAUUUUAUUAAGGGAUAACGAAAG